rnacentral:rRNA from 1 species
UACAGAGGUCCCAAGCGUUGUUCGGAUUCAUUGGGCGUAAAGGGUGUGUAGGUGGCGCCGUAAGUCGGGUGUGAAAUCUCGGGGCUUAACUCCGAAACUGCAUUCGAUACUGCGGUGCUUGAGGACUGGAGAGGAGACUGGAAUUCAUGGUGUAGCGGUGAAAUGCGUAGAGAUUAGGAAGAACACCAGUGGCGAAGGCGGGUCUCUGGACAGUUCCUGACACUGAGACACGAAGGCCAGGGGAGCAAACGGG